GCUAGUGUAGCUUAAAAUUUAAAGCAUAAUACUGAAGAUGUUAGGAUGGGUCGUAAUAAAGCCCCGCAAGCA
rnacentral:tRNA from 1 species